rnacentral:siRNA from 1 species
UGUGAAUUUUGUGCUGCCUCG